AUUGAACGCUGGCGGCAGGCCUAACACAUGCAAGUCGAGCGGAUGAGGGAAGCUUGCUUCCCGAUUUAGCGGCGGACGGGUGAGUAAUGCCUAGGAAUCUGCCUAUUAGUGGGGGAUAACGUUCCGAAAGGAACGCUAAUACCGCAUACGUCCUACGGGAGAAAGUGGGGAAUCUUCGGACCUCACGCUAAUAGAUGAGCCUAGGUCGGAUUAGCUAGUUGGUGAGGUAACGGCUCACCAAGGCGACGAUCCGUAGCUGGUCUGAGAGGAUGAUCAGCCACACUGGAACUGAGACACGGUCCAGACUCCCACGGGAGGCAGCAGUGGGGAAUAUUGGACAAUGGGCGAAAGCCUGAUCCAGCCAUGCCGCGUGUGUGAAGAAGGUCUUCGGAUUGUAAAGCACUUUAAGUUGGGAGGAAGGGUUGUAAGCUAAUAUCUUGCAGCUUUGACGUUACCAACAGAAUAAGCACCGGCUAACUCUGUGCCAGCCGCCGCGGUAAAAC
rnacentral:rRNA from 1 species